rnacentral:snRNA from 1 species
AUGUGUUCCUUGGAGGGGAGACACGAGGAUCACCCAAGUGGUUUUCCCAGGGUAAGGUUCACCCCUUGCAGUCCGGGUGUGCUGAAACCUGCAGUUUCCCCAAAUGUGGGAAACUCGACUGCAUAAUUUGUGGAAGUGGAGGACUGCACUCGCGCUCUUCCCUG